AAUCCAGAGAUGGAUUUGUGCCUUCGGGAACUGUGAGACAGGUGCUGCAUGGCUGUCGUCAGCUCGUGUUGUGAAAUGUUGGGUUAAGUCCCGCAACGAGCGCAACCCUUAUCCUUUGUUGCCAGCGGUUAGGCCGGGAACUCAAAGGAGACUGCCAGUGAUAAACUGGAGGAAGGUGGGGAUGACGUCAAGUCAUCAUGGCCCUUACGACUAGGGCUACACACGUGCUACAAUGGCGCAUACAAAGAGAAGCGACCUCGCGAGAGCAAGCGGACCUCAUAAAGUGCGUCGUAGUCCGGAUUGGAGUCUGCAACUCGACUCCAUGAAGUCGGAAUCGCUAGUAAUCGUGGAUCAGAAUGCCACGGUGAAUACGUUCCCGGGCCUUGUACACACCGCCCGUCACACCAUGGGAGUGGGUUGCAAAAGAAGUAGGUAGCUUAACCUUCGGGAGGGCGCUUACCACUUUGUGAUUCAUGACUGGGGUGAAGUCGUAACAAGGUAACCGUAGGGGAACCUGCGGUUGGAUCACCUCCUUACCUUAAAGAA
rnacentral:rRNA from 1 species